rnacentral:lncRNA from 1 species
UGUCCAUGGGCUCGAAAUAAACCCUCUCCCAUAACCAUCAGGGCUAGUGGUGUUGAUGAUCAUGAGCAAACCAGUUGGCUAGAUCUGAGCCUCCUCAUCCCUCCAUGUGUUCCUUAGACCUGCUCCUGGUUUUAGGAGCUCCUUAUUAUAAACUGCCUUUCUGUCUGUUUCUAUUGCUAUGUGUGUCCUGUAUUUAUUUGAGAGUGUCACAUAGCCCUGGUAGCAUCUAAAUCUUGGGUGCUGGGCUCAGGCUUAGACCACCAUGCUGGGCUAUAAACUGCCCUUUUUCUAGUGCAUUUGUAUGAUCCUGCUACCUCCUGACUGGACCCUGGUUGGUGGGUCCUGGGAUCAGAAAGGAGUUCUUAACUUCUUCCAGGUAAGGAGGGCUGGACUGUCUAUUUCCUAUAAAUGGGAAAGUCACUUGCUUGUAGUCGUUUUGUCAUUAUUGCUGCUUGUACCUUUACUGAUUAUAUAUCUUGAAGAGUAAGAGAGACAAAACUGAUGCAUGGUACACUGACUAGUGUUGGCACUUGGUACAUGGUACUCCAACUGGCCUUUUUGCUGGAGUACGGAUUUAAUGGGCCAAGGAUGAAGUUUUUGGCUCCCUGCAUCUCUGCUGUAUUACCCUUGGUUCUGCAGCCAGCUCUCCAAGGUAACUGUAAUGCGGCUCAUGUUUUAGUCUCUCCAGCAUAACAGGAAACUCCAAGAUCCAUGAUCUUGACCCCUCACUUUCUAAUGCAAAUAUCCUCCCCUGUAUGUUUGGUGAAAAGGUAACUAGAUAGAUGAAUAUGUGCUCAUUUUCAUCUAAUAAAGGAGGCAGCCCAAUUUCUCUCUCUCCUAAGCUGUGGGGUAAUCACGAUGUAGUAAACCAAGAGUCUCCCUCCUUUGAGACCACUCUGUUCAAACUUCUUCCUUUUAGACUCUGCUUAUGAAUAUUCAAAAGCGUUGAGUACUAACCAGAGCUAGCCCCUCCUUCCACUUCCACAGCCUUGUCAGACUUUGAUGGAAUCCUACUUAUUGCUCAUAGAUUUGUUUGAUUUUUCUAACUUCUCUAGGAAAGAGAGGUGUUCACCAUCAAUUCCCAGUAAGGAAAGUGAGUUAGAGAUGAGCAAACUAAAACACUAAAAGUCUUUGUCAUUCAGGACUGAUCCUGGGGCCAGCUAUAUGGCUCAGAAAGCGAACGCACUUGCAGUGUGGGCCCAAGGGCCAGGGUUUGACUCCCCGUGCUUACGCAAUGGUGGAAGGAGAGAACCGGCUGCAUGAAGUUGUCUUUGACCUCCAUGUGAAUGCCUUUAUAUGUGUGCCUCUCAUGCCAUGAAUGCCAAAUAAAAUUAACAGCAACAGGAAAAAGUUAUACUGGCCAAAAUUUGCAUUUAGCAUAGGUUUACUUCUUUUUCAUAAUUGGAAAAAAAAAUGAGCAUGAGAGGCCUGCACCCACCCCUUGGGUAUAUACUCUUGUUUUCUUAAUAAACCUCAACUUUGCUUCAUACUAAAAUAAUGAUAGAACAAUAAUGAUAAUGUCAAUGCUAUUUAUUUUAAUCAGUGCCUCUUUUUUUAAUAUCUUGUUUAUUUCAUGUACAUGAGUAUACUGUAGCUGUCUUCAGACACACCAGAAGAGGGUAUCAGAUCUCAUUACAGAUGGCCGUGAGCUGCCAUGUGGUUGCUGGGACCUGAACUCAGGAUCUUCAGAAAAGCAGUCAGUGCCCCUAACUGCUGAGCCAUCUCUCCAGCCCCAUCAAUGAUAAUUUUUAAGAAUUAGAUUUCCUUGCAGGUAACUGUGGAAGGUGAUGUCCAUAUCCAGAGUGCUUUGAACGCUUUUUUUUUUUUUCUUUAAAUCUAGCUCUUAUUGAUGGUCAUGGAUUCCAUCUGGAAAAUGUCAUAAAGUCCCUUCUAGAGAUUAUCUACACUUCUUGGGUAAGGGAGGUGGGGCAGGCGAGUGAUCAGCAGUCAGUAUCAUCAGGGAAGUGCCAUCAAGCCUCAUGGAGCAGCAGGGAUUGGGGAACGCACACAAAAACCAGGUACAAGUGGAUAUUAGAGGAGUGGUACCGUGGACCUCAGGCUGAAUCUCUAAUGGCAGAUGGCGACCCUCAUCAUUGACACCGCAUGCGGUGACUCCCUUAGCUGGUGGCUUUGGGUGAAACAUAGGGACAGUUGGAACACACGACAGUUAUAUUGUUUCCCAGGCUUUUGUUUGUUAAAUGAAAAAAAUCCGUGCCUAAUUACAGUCCCUUUGCACGGGGCUUGGGAGGGAAAAUAAAGGCAUUCUUCUACCAACUGGAAAACGCAGGAAAAUGGCAGAAAGCAGUUAUUCAUUUUAGGGCUCCCCUGAAAAAUCCCUUCCUGCUAGCAAGAAAAAUAUCCGACUAUUAUUCUUAAACUUACCAAAGUUAAAAUGCAUGUAUAGUUUAGUGUUAUUACCCAUGGAGCCACUGACCGAACAUUUUACAAACACUUCUGUGGUCCACUAUGGCUUAACAUCCUAAACAAAUUAGUUUUGGAAUUUUCUAGAAUACUAAACUU